GACGGAAGGUGCAAGCGUUGCUCGGAAUCACUGGGCGUAAAGGGUGCGUAGGCGGCCGUGCAAGUCUGGUGUGAAAGCCCCGGGCUCAGCCCGGGAAGUGCGCUCGAAACUGCGCGGCUCGAGUGCCGGAGGGGAGAGUGGAAUUCCUGGUGUAGCGGUGAAAUGCGUAGAUAUCAGGAGGAAUACCGGUGGCGAAAGCGACUCUCUGGACGGUAACUGACGCUGAGGCACGAAGGCCAGGGGAGCAAACGGG
rnacentral:rRNA from 1 species